rnacentral:rRNA from 1 species
AUACGGAGGAUGCAAGCGUUAUCCGGAUUUAUUGGGUUUAAAGGGUUCGUAGGCGGGAAAUUAAGUCAGCGGUGAAAGCCUGCAGCUCAACUGUAGAAUUGCCAUUGAUACUGAUUUUCUUGAAUAUAUAUGAAGUGGGCGGAAUGCGUCAUGUAGCGGUGAAAUGCACAGAUAUGACGCAGAACAUCGAUAGCGAAGGCAGCUCACUAAUAUAUUAUUGACGCUCAGGAACGAAAGCAUGGGGAGCGAACAGGAUUAGAAACCCUAGUAGUCC